GGGUGAGUAAUACAUCGGAACGUGUCCGCUCGUGGGGGACAACCAGCCGAAAGGUUGGCUAAUACCGCAUGAGUUCUACGGAAGAAAGAGGGGGACCCGCAAGGGCCUCUCGCGAGCGGAGCGGCCGAUGACUGAUUAGCCGGUUGGUGAGGUAACGGCUCACCAAAGCAACGAUCAGUAGCUGGUCUGAGAGGACGACCAGCCACACUGGGACUGAGACACGGCCCAGACUCCUACGGGAGGCAGCAGUGGGGAAUUUUGGACAAUGGGCGCAAGCCUGAUCCAGCUAUUCCGCGUGUGGGAUGAAGGCCCUCGGGUUGUAAACCACUUUUGUAGAGGACGAAAAGACACCUUCGAAUAAAGGGUGUUGCUGACGGUACUCUAAGAAUAAGCACCGGCUAACUACGCGCCAGCAGCCGCGGUAAUACGUAGGGUGCGAGCGUUAAUCGGAAUUACUGGGCGUAAAGGGUGCGCAGGCGGUUGAGUAAGACAGAUGUGAAAUCCCCGAGCUUAACUCGGGAAUGGCAUAUGUGACUGCUCGACUAGAGUGUGUCAGAGGGAGGUGGAAUUCCACGUGUAGCAGUGAAAUGCGUAGAUAUGUGGAAGAACACCGAUGGCGAAGGCAGCCUCCUGGGACAUAACUGACGCUCAGGCACGAAAGCGUGGGGAGCAAACAGGAUUAGAUACCCUGGUAGUCCACGCCCUAAACGAU
rnacentral:rRNA from 1 species